rnacentral:tRNA from 1 species
UCGGCCGUGGUGUAAUUGGCAACACCCUAGGUUUUGGUCCUAGUUUUCCGGGUUCGAAUCCUGGCGGCCGAGC